UACGUAGGGAGCGAGCGUUAUCCGGAAUUAUUGGGCGUAAAGGGAGCGUAGACGGCAAUACAAGUCGGAAGUGAAAUACCCGGGCUCAACCUGGGAACUGCUUUGGAAACUGUAUGGCUAGAGUGCUGGAGAGGUAAGCGGAAUUCCUAGUGUAGCGGUGAAAUGCGUAGAUAUUAGGAGGAACACCAGUGGCGAAGGCGGCUUACUGGACUGUAACUGACACUGAGGCUCGAAAGUGUGGGUAUCAAACAGG
rnacentral:rRNA from 1 species